AACGGGUGAAGUAAUACAGUCGGGAACGUCGACCCAAUCGGUGGGGAUAACGUAGCGAAAGUUACGCUAAUACCGCAUACGAUCUACGGAUGAAAGCGGGGGAUCGCAAGACCUCGCGCGAAUGGAGCGGCCGAUGUCAGAUUAGGUAGUUGGUGGGGUAAAGGCUCACCAAGCCGACGAUCUGUAGCUGGUCUGAGAGGACGACCAGCCACACUGGGACUGAGACACGGCCCAGACUCCUACGGGAGGCAGCAGUGGGGAAUUUUGGACAAUGGGCGCAAGCCUGAUCCAGCCAUUCCGCGUGCAGGAUGAAGGCCUUCGGUUGUAAACUGCUUUUGUACGGAACGAAACGGUUCUCUCUAAUACAGGGGGCUAAUGACGGUACCGUAAGAAUAAGCACCGGCUAACUACGUG
rnacentral:rRNA from 1 species